AUGCUGAGGCUACUGGUCAUUUGGGCAGCGAUCUUGGGCUCCUGCCAUGGGCAGUCCGAAGUGUCCCGGAGGAACAGCCGUCUGAGGGUGAUGUCACCGCCGGAGCUCGAGGGCACAUACGGCUGUGCCAGUACCGACUUCGGUUUCCCGCAGCACGCUGGCUCCAUGACCGGCAUGGUCGUCUACCCAAGGCGCAACAGGAUGGCCUGCAUGAACUUCGAUGACUUUGGCAUCUCUCUCCGUUCUCGCCCAGCCGGCGCGCUUCCUGUUAUCUUGCUCGUCGACACCGGAGGCAUCUCCAACGCCGACCUUCAAACCUCCCGCAUCCGUUCAGACCGUACUAUCAUGAUCCGUGAUGCGGUCCAGAUGUUCCCGCAAAGCGGAGACAAAUGUGAGGGGCUUUGUGGGAGUCCGGACCGCUGCCAUCCCCGUUUCUGA
rnacentral:rRNA from 1 species